AAUAAAAAUCUAAUUUCGACUACAUGUGGUCGAAAUAAUUAAGUCAAAGUCGGUCAAAUCUGACUUAAUUAUUGUCGACCACAUGUGGUCGAAAAUUUCAAAAGAUUUAGACCAGAUCUAGUCUCUUUAAUUUUCUUUUCAUUUUCCCCCUUCUCUUUCACUCUCUUCUCUCUCCCUCUCCUCUCUCUACCAUCCCACCACCCGAUUGCCCCACCCCCUCCUUAGAUGGUCAACGCCUCCAGACGCCGCCGCUGUUUCCGACCAGCAAUCGUCGCCACCAGACGCCGCCAGCUCAGGUGAGAAAAGUACUCCCAGAACUUUAUCACCUUGUUUGUUUACCUGAUGAUGGAGAUGUACUAACAAAUGCAUGUUCGGUACUUGCUCGCCUUACGGAUAGUAAUUACUGCAAAACGCCAGUCAUCACUAACGAUGGUGUUUGUAAACAGCUGUUUAAACUCCUCGAGCAUCCGCUUCCUUCAGUAGUCAGCCCUGCCCUCCAUACACUUGGAAAUAUUGUUUUAAGAAAUGACAUCCAGUCUCAGCAAACAAUGGAGCCUUUCGUCGAUACCAGUCGACCCUUGAAGUCGUAGGUGCUGCUGAUGAUGGGGCAGUUGAUCCUAAGGAGUAUGAAGCUAUGAAGCAUCAAGUUGACCUGCUAGCAAGAACACUUAAUUCCUCGGAGGCCAGGAUGUUGGGGAGGAUACGGAUCAUGUCUCUAAUACCGAACGUUGACCUUUUUGAUUAGUGUGCUUUUGGAUUCUAAUUCGGCUAUGUUUAAAUGGAUAUGUAUAUUAUGUUUAAGAGUUUGAAUGUAGUUUUAGUUCGAAUUAGAAGUACUUUUAAUUUUAAGAUGUUUAAGUGUUUGAACGUAGUUUAUGAUGUUUAAGUGUUUGAAUGGACAAUGUUUAAGUGUUCAAGUGUUUGAACAUUGUUUAUGGUUGUUGUGUUG